rnacentral:rRNA from 1 species
UAGGGAAUCUUCCACAAUGGACGCAAGUCUGAUGGAGCAACGCCGCGUGAGUGAAGAAGGUCUUCGGAUCGUAAAGCUCUGUUGUUGGUGAAGAAGGAUAGAGGCAGUAACUGGUCUUUAUUUGACGGUAAUCAACCAGAAAGUCACGGCUAACUACGUGCCAGCAGCCGCGGUAAUACGUAGGUGGCAAGCGUUGUCCGGAUUUAUUGGGCGUAAAGCGAGCGCAGGCGGAAUGAUAAGUCUGAUGUGAAAGCCCACGGCUCAACCGUGGAACUGCAUCGGAAACUGUCAUUCUUGAGUGCAGAAGAGGAGAGUGGAACUCCAUGUGUAGCGGUGGAAUGCGUAGAUAUAUGGAAGAACACCAGUGGCGAAGGCGGCUCUCUGGUCUGCAACUGACGCUGAGGCUCGAAAGCAUGGGUAGCGAACAGGAUUAGAUACCCUGGUAGUCCAUGCCGUAAACGAUGAGCGCUAGGUGUUGGGGACUUUCCGGUCCUCAGUGCCGCAGCAAACGCAUUAAGCGCUCCGCCUGGGGAGUACGGC